CAAGACAUGAAGUCAGGUCAGCAAA
rnacentral:rRNA from 2 species